GCCCGGCUAGCUCAGUCGGUAGAGCAUGAGGCUCUUAAUCCCAGGGUGUGGACGAUGGCAUACGUUGGGCA
rfam:Drosophila grimshawi strain TSC#15287-2541.00 scaffold_15081 genomic scaffold, whole genome shotgun sequence.